ensembl:ncRNA ZK632.17 ncRNA
UCUCUCUAGUUUUCUCUGAUCAACGCAUGCGCUAAAAUCGACACGUGACUAAAUAUAAUCAGUCAUAAGUUGACCAUAAGACAAGAGAAAAAGACUUCCGAACUGGAAGACACGGAAUACAUAUAUAUGACCGAGAGGCUCGGAGACGCAGAUUGAAAACGCUGAGAUCAGAACUAUAAAACGAGUGCGACCGUCGACUUUUUUCAUAUCUUGAGUGG